rnacentral:rRNA from 1 species
AUUGAACGCUGGCGGCAUGCCUUACACAUGCAAGUCGAACGGCAGCACGGGAGCAAUCCUGGUGGCGAGUGGCGAACGGGUGAGUAACAUAUCGGAACGUGCCCGGUAGUGGGGGAUAACCCGGCGAAAGUCGGACUAAUACCGCAUACGACCUACGGGUGAAAGCGGGGGAUCGCAAGACCUCGCGCUAUUGGAGCGGCCGAUAUCAGAUUAGCUAGUUGGUGGGGUAAAGGCCUACCAAGGCGACGAUCUGUAGCUGGUCUGAGAGGACGACCAGCCACACUGGGACUGAGACACGGCCCAGACUCCUACGGGAGGCAGCAGUGGGGAAUUUUUGGACAAUGGGCGCAAGCCUGAUCCAGCCAUGCCGCGUGC